CGGUGGAGCAUGUGGUUUAAUUCGAAGCAACGACGAAGAACCUUACCAGGCCUUGACAUGCAGAGAACUUUCCAGAGAUGGAUUGGUGCCUUCGGGAACUCUGACACAGGUGCUGCGUGGCUGUCGUCAGCUCGUGUCGUGAGAUGUUGGGUUAAGUCCCAUAACGAGCGCAACCCUACCUUUAGUUGCCAUCAGGUAAUGCUGGGGACUCUAAAGGAACUGCCUACGCAAGUAGUGAGGAAGGCGGGGAUGACGUCAAAUCAGCACGGCCCUUACGUCCAGGGCUACACACGUGCUACAAUGGCCGAUACAGAGGGCAGCUACCUGGUGACAGGAUGCAAAUCUCCAAAGUCGGUCUCAGUUCGGAUCGGAGUCUGCAACCCGACUCCGUGAAGUUGGAUUCGCUAGUAAUCGCGCAUCAGCCAUGGCGCGGUGAAUACGUUCCCGGGCCUU
rnacentral:rRNA from 1 species